rnacentral:rRNA from 1 species
UGCGUAGGGUGCAAGCGUUGUCCGGAAUUAUUGGGCGUAAAGAGCGUGUAGGCGGCCCGACAAGUCCGCUGUGAAAGUCCAGGGCUCAACCCUGGAAUGCCGGUGGAUACUGUCGGGCUAGAGUCCGGAAGGGGCGAGUGGAAUUCCUGGUGUAGCGGUGAAAUGCGCAGAUAUCAGGAGGAACACCAAUGGCGAAGGCAGCUCGCUGGGACGUGACUGACGCUGAGACGCGAAAGCGUGGGGAGCAAACAGG